AGGAUUAAAGCGACAGAAAGUCAUUGGGAUCAGAUAACGAAUUGUGGCGCUAAACUUGGCGUUUCCUUGUUCAUUCAAAGUGAGGAAGCAAAGGGGAGAGAGAGAGAGAGAGAGAGAGAGAGAGUAAUGGCCUCCAACACUUGUUCGUCCUGGCUCCUAGUCUCAUCCUCCAACGCCAAACGCCGUGCCUUCUCCUUGGUCCCAACCUGCUUCAAACUCACUGCUUCACAGACUCAAUGGCAUUCAAAUUCUUAUACUCGCAGAAACGGCUUCCCCGUAAUCAAACGCCAUUGGGUUGAAGCAACUGAUGAAUCGUUUGCAUCUCCAGAAAGAUUCACCGUGGCUUCAUACAACAUACUUGGGGAUAGAAACGCUUCUCAACACACAGAUUUAUACGUAAACGUCCCUUCACGUUACGUCAACUGGGAUCGCCGCAAAAGGGUUAUCUGUGAUGAACUCUUUGGAUGGAACCCUGAUAUUAUCUGUUUACAAGAGGUUGACAAGUAUCUUGAACUCUCUGACAUUUUGGUUAAAGCUGGAUACGCUGGAUUUUAUAAGGUGUGUUUUUUAGUAAACCCUUAAUCAAUCAUGGAAAUUUUAUACGUCCACCAUUUUAGUUUUGAUGUCGUUCAUUUUAUUUUAUUUUCAUGGUCAUUUUAUGCUUAGAAAAAGAACUAAAGUAAAUUUCACUUUGUAAAGUUUAGGGAUAAUAAAGAGUUUUUAAAUUUAGGUAGUAAAAUAUCUGAUCCAUACGAUCUCAAGUAUUAAUAUGAAAAGUUUAGUCAUGUAUUUUGAUUUCCUUCAAUUUCUGAUUUUUACUUUGGCUUUGUCUAUUAAAUGCCUUAUAUCUUCUUGUUCAACUUUUGGUUUACUAAAAAAAUAUAAAAUUAGAUAAAUAUAUUAGUUGAUUUGAUCUGCGUAAAUAUUGUUAAACGUGCUGAUGUAUUUCCAUUACUGUGAAAUUUGUGAUUAUCUUGUCCACGGUAGUACAACACCACGAUGUAUAGGUGUACGACUAUUGAGUACCUAAUGAAUUGUGUAAAUGGAGCUGUAGAGACGCACUGGGGAUUCAGUUGACGGUUGUGCAAUGUUUUGGAAAGCUGAUAAGUUGCGGUUAUUAGAAGGAGAGAGCAUUCAAUUUAAGGACAUUGGCCUUCGUGAUAAUGUUGCUCAACUUUCAGUUUUUGAGGCAGAUGUGUGAAUCUGAGUCAAGAAGACUGUUGGUUGGUAACAUCCACGUACUUUACAACCUAAACAAGGGAGAAGUUAAACUAGGUCAAAUUCGUUUUCUCACAUCGAGAGCACAGACCCUCUCAGAGAAAUGGGGUAAUACCCCUGUUGUGCUAGCUGGUGAUUUUAAUAGAACACCUCAGAGUGGAAUAUACAAGUUCUUGUCAUCAUCUGAGCUUAAUAUCAUGCUGUAUGACAGAAAGGAAUUAUCUGGACAGAAACGCUGUCGCCCUGCUCAAGUUUUAGGCGAGAAUAAAGAAACUGUUGGUCCAUUAGUAUUAUUGGAUGGGUACUUUUCAAUUUUAUUUUUUUUUGUGGUUAUUUAUAUAUCAUAAGCUACGAUGCAGGUGUGCAUGUGUAGUUUAUGUAGUAGAAAAUUAUUGUUUGAUAUCGGUCAUCACAUAUUUAAGGUGACAGUGUACGAGUGUAAUGACCCGAGUUUGAUUACAUUUUUGAGGCGAGGUAGUUUUGCAUUUUCAUCAUUUAUAAUUAUAACUAUAAACUCCAGUCUUGCAUCUUUUUUGUGUGUAUGUGUUCUACAUUGGUGUUUGGAAAACUAUUUUCAUCCUUUUAAAUUUCUGUUCACUUCUAAUAUUUGUAUAAGGAUAUUUUAUUUCCCCUGAAGCUUUCUAUGAGAGAAAGUGCCUAGAUCUUUAUAUAUAUAUAUAUUGAUUUUUCUAAAAUUAAAAUUUAUACAUGAAUGCCCUUUCAUGAAUAUGGAACACUGUUGCAUGUGAGAUCAACAUUUUCAUAGCAGAUUUAGUGUGCUAUAAAUGCUAACAUUUUAUGAUCUUCAAUUGUGCAGUCACUUUCUUCUCUUCUGCUAUUAGCUACUUACUUUUUAUUAAUUAAAGAAGUCAUCUUGUUGAAAUAUUUUACGCUAGUGUUAUCUACUCAGUAUGAUGCUUUCAAGCUGAUGUUUCCAGAUUGUUUAAGUGCUGGACAGAUGAAGAGGUAAAAAUUGCAACGGGUGAUUCUGAGCGUCAUUUGGCUGUGCAUCCAUUGAAGCUGAAUAGUUCGUACGCCACUGUUAAUGGUUCAACUAAUACACGGGGAUUCAGUGGUGAACCUUUGGCAACUUCCUAUCACUCAAAGUUUCUUGGUACUGUAGAUUACUUAUGGUAAUCAAUGCCUGCGCUAAACUCUGCUAAAGAUAUUGUGAAAAAUAUGCUGGUUUGAUGGUCUUAAUUAUUGCAAUUGCCGAACUAUAAGACUGAUUGCACUUGAUGCAGGUACUCUGACGGGAUUGUACCUACAAGAGUUCUUGAUACCGUUCCAAUAAGUGAUCUCGUGAGGGCAGGUGGCCUCCCAUGCAAGAAAGUGGGAAGCGACCAUUUGGCCUUGGUUUCUGAAUUUUCCUUCUCGGAUACCAACAAUAAACCUACAGACAUGGUUGCAGCAGCAUCAUCGCCUCAAGUAAAUAUUGAAGAGUUUGACAAUCUGCAGCCAUAAGAAAACAGCUCAGCAGUUGUGUUUAGAUACAUAUUUUUCGCUUUCCUACUUACAAUGGCUUUAAUGAUUUACUUAGCUUAGCUCAAGUUAAUUGAAUUUGUAAUUUAGAUAAAGAUUGAAUUUCAAGUCAUUUCUCAACGUACCACAAGAAAACAAAUCACAAGUGC